UGAGUGAGAAUCAGGGGUUUGU
rnacentral:misc_RNA from 1 species